UCUAGGACCAAAAUCAUGGGAGGAUGUGUCAACCGAGGACCUUAGAAAAUGGCAGGAGGAAGUACUUGAGUGUAACAGAGGAAGUGAAAGGAAUGCAGAAAUGUCAAAGCAACAUAACAGUGAUUUUGAGGAUGGACAUUCAACGGGACAUCAGGAAUCUCCUGAGACCUCUUGUGUGAAUACAUCUGAUACAGGUGAAGAAAGUGAUACCGAUACAGUUUCAGUAAGAAGAAAAUUUCAAGACAUUCACUUACAGG